AUGAAUAAGAUCGACGAUGCACUGAUCAGUUCAGCAGAGCCUUGUUCUUUUCGGUCGAUGUUGAAGCCUGCUCCAUGUUCUCCAAUCACAUGGAGCUGUUUUUUGAAGCCCAUCAAUCACAUGCUAGACCAUUCCACGGUGAAAGUGUUCUUCAACUCUGAAAAACUGUUCUCUUUGUUGAUCACAUGGAUUGAUCAAGAGGGUAUCACAAUAUGGUCAAUGGAAGCAGCAGCUAACAUAUGGAUCAUAUGGGCGAUCAAAGAGAAAAUCACUUCUCUCUGUAAAAAAAAGAGAAUUACUCAAGAGUUUUGUAGUAGUAUAUUUUCCUCUGUUACCAUGUGUGGUCAAAGGGAAUGUACUACCAUCUUUAAUGAAGGAUAUGUAAUACCUGUGCGUUGA
rnacentral:rRNA from 1 species